rnacentral:rRNA from 1 species
AGCGAACGCUGGCGGCAGGCUUAACACAUGCAAGUCGAGCGGGCGUAGCAAUACGUCAGCGGCAGACGGGUGAGUAACGCGUGGGAACGUACCUUUUGGUUCGGAACAACACAGGGAAACUUGUGCUAAUACCGGAUAAGCCCUUACGGGGAAAGACUUAUCGCCGAAAGAUCGGCCCGCGUCUGAUUAGCUAGUUGGUGAGGUGACGGCUCACCAAGGCGACGAUCAGUAGCUGGUCUGAGAGGAUGAUCAGCCACAUUGGGACUGAGACACGGCCCAAACUCCUACGGGAGGCAGCAGUGGGGAAUAUUGGACAAUGGGCGCAAGCCUGAUCCAGCCAUGCCGCGUGAGUGAUGAAGGCCCUAGGGUUGUAAAGCUCUUUUGUGCGGGAAGAUAAUGACGGUACCGCAAGAAUAAGCCCCGGCUAACUUCGUGCCAGCAGCCGCCGUAA